rnacentral:rRNA from 1 species
UCGCAAGCGAGNCGNCACCCCUUAUUUUCGUGUUAGGCCAAGCAGGUAAAGCUNGGGAACUUCGCGANGAGACUGCCCCGGGAUAACCNGGGANGGAAGGUGGGGGAUGACGUCAAAUUCAUCAUGCCCCUUAUGAUUUGGGCCAAACACACGUGCUACAAUGGCGUAAACAAAGGGAGGCGAAGGAGCGAUCCGGAGCGAAUCCCAAAAAUAACGCCUCAGUUCGGACUGUAGUCUGCAACCCGACUACACGAAGCUGGAAUUGCUAGUAAUCGCAGAUCAGCAUGCUGCGGUGAAUACGUUCCCGGGUCUUGUACACACCGCCCGUCACACCAUGGGAGUCAGUAACGCCCGAAAUCGGUGACCUAACCGCAAGGAAGGAGCCGCUGAAGGCGGGACGGAUAACUGGGGUGAAGUCGUAACAAGGUAGCCGUA